GGGGAAUAUUGGACAAUGGGCGCAAGCCUGAUCCAGCCAUGCCGCGUGAGUGAUGAAGGCCUUAGGGUUGUAAAGCUCUUUCAGUGGGGAAGAUAAUGACGGUACCCACAGAAGAAGCCCCGGCUAACUUCGUGCCAGCAGCCGCGGUAAUACGAAGGGGGCUAGCGUUGUUCGGAUUUACUGGGCGUAAAGCGCACGUAGGCGGAUUGGUCAGUUAGAGGUGAAAUCCCGAAGCUCAACUUCGGAACUGCCUUUAAUACUGCCAGUCUAGAGUCCGGAAGAGGUAAGUGGAACUCCUAGUGUAGAGGUGGAAUUCGUAGAUAUUAGGAAGAACACCAGUGGCGAAGGCGGCUCACUGGUCCGGUACUGACGCUGAGGUGCGAAAGCGUGGGGAGCAAAC
rnacentral:rRNA from 1 species